rnacentral:rRNA from 1 species
UUUAUGGAGAGUUUGAUCCUGGCUCAGGAUGAACGCUGGCGGCGUGCCUAAUACAUGCAAGUCGAGCGAACGGAUGAGAAGCUUGCUUCUCUGAUGUUAGCGGCGGACGGGUGAGUAACACGUGGAUAACCUACCUAUAAGACUGGGAUAACUUCGGGAAACCGGAGCUAAUACCGGAUAAUAUUUUGAGCC